rnacentral:pre_miRNA from 1 species
AUAAUACUUCCUCCGUCCUGAAAUAUUUGUCCUCGAAAUGAUUGUAUCUAGACUUAUUUUAAUUAUAGAUACAUUCAUUUUAUUCAUUUGUAGGACAAGUAUUUUCGGACGGAGGGAGUAGUGA